GCAUAAGCAUCAAUUCCUAAUUCCUCUACAGGUUGAAGUUUUGUCGGGUUUGAGAAGUGGUGAUCUAUAGCAUUCUUCUGUGAAGCUGAGUUGAUGGUUGUUUGAAAUUGGACAAGCAAUCACUUCGUGGAUUCUAGGCAGUUUUACCGUUUGAAUGAAGUUUGUUCUCCACUUCUGCUUUUUUACGAUUAUGGUGAGUUGAUUAGGGCCUAGUUCUCUUUCCUUCGAUGCAAACCUCAUUUGGUUCGAUGUGGACCGUCUUCAAUCUGUGAUGGUUCUUUCUAGAUCCAUAAUCUUUAUUACAUUUAACGAUCUCUUCUUUCCUUGAGCUUCUAUUGGUUUUGCUGUAUUUGGAAGAUGAAUAAUCAUUGACUAUCUUCCAUUGUAGGUAUUGUUUAUGAGUCUGGAAAGCUUGAGGUCCACUAAGUUCUGGCUUGUUUCUCUUCGUUCUUUUAAUGAAUGCUGCAAUUGAUUGCUGGUAAAUCAUGCAGAUAUUGCAUGUGCAAUUUAUUUGCUUUGCCUUUUCUUUUUCCGAAUACUAGCUUCACACAAUACCUAGUUAGGCUUAGGCUUUCACCAAUUGAUGUGAUUUCUUUUGGUACAGAACCUUUGGUGGAACUUUUCCAUUUAUCAGGUGAUUUCUAUGCUUUAGGUGGUAGUUAAGGAGUGGUCAUGGACAUUCUUAUUGUUUACACUCCUCCUUUGAUCAUUGUUGAUGGAUUGAUCCAUCCUUCUGUUGUUUUAGAGCUGUUUCUGGGUUUAUAAUCCAUUGGAUUGGUAGUAGCUUCUUUUCUCACGGAGCAAUCUCUUUGAUUGAGGAUGUUGUCUAAGGAAUGGUACAUAUGAUGAGGUUGGUCAAUUAUUACUUGGAAUAAUGCGUUCGACGAUCUAUUCACAUCUAUCUUUGGUUGGGUUGGUGGAUGGGCAGUGUCGUUGAGCAUCUUCAGGACCGGGUGAAGAACUGAAUUUUGGAUGAACUCCUGCUGUGUAGGCACUUGGGUUUUUUAUUGAAUCUCAUUCCUUAGUUGAUUCCCUUGGAGUGGAAUGUUGAUAAUUUUAGAAGUGUUGAUCAAUUGCUUUUUUUGUGUGGCUGAGUUGAUGAAUUGCGGAGUCCGAGCUUUGUUUGAAAUUGGAUAAGCUCUCACUUCUUGGAUUUUUCUUCUUUUGAUGUCCAUGUGUAUAUGGAUCAAUCCCUAAUCAAUUGAUUUGAUAGGGUGUGCAAGAACUAGCUUGACUAUGCUUUGAGGUUUCGAAGUUUGAUGUAAGAUCUCUGCUUGUCAUGGGAUGGCCUUUCUGUUGGACAUACUUGCAAGAAGAGAGUGCUAAGUAUCCUUAGUUGCAAUAAGAUAUCUGUAUGGGUUUGCCUAGCCUAUACUUUCCGCUGCUGUAAUACUUUCUUCUGGUACAGUAAAUUUGUUGGGGACAUGUUACAAAUGAAGUGUUUUGUAGGUGAGAUGGGUUGUCUUUAGUUUGUAGUGCCACCUUGAGGGCCUAAUAUUUCUGUAUAUUUUAGGUUCUCGUUGAUCCAUGGGACUAUGGAGACUUUUCUGCUAGGACCUAAGAUAGACUUCAUGCAAACUGUUAGCAUCUCAUUCUGAAAGUAUGUACUGCUCGCUCGAUCACUCCACAUGGAUUCACCCUCGAUUCUCUCCGAAACUCAUAUUCUAUUAUCAUCGUUUUCUGAGGAUGCUGGCUCUCGUUUGUACCUUCAAAACUAUAUCUGCAAGGAUGCUCGGGAAUAUAUGCUCAUGGGGACGCAUGGAGUUGAUGGUUUGGAUGUUUUUGCCAUCUUUUAUAAGCUCGCUCUUUGAAUGAGAUGGUGCACUGGACAUGUUGCUUUACGUAGGGUUCAUAUGUUGUAGGAGCUGUACUUGAUGUUGAACUUGAGAAGAAAAACUGAGCCAAUUGAAAGGAUCUUCUGAUCAAUCCAGAGAUCACCUCACUCUUGUGACAUGCUAUCUUUCCCCCAGGACAUUGGCUUCCGCCAACAGUGGACUAUUAAAGAAGCCUCGAGGUUAUCGAGGAAAAGCUUGGAAAAAGGAACUUGGUUUAUUGAAAAGAAAGAAUUUCUUUUUCCUCUCUUUCACAGCCAACAAUUCCUGAAGGAAUAGAACAAGACUCUUUAUUCCCCCAUUGAAUCGAGACUGGCAAUGAGAUCAAAAGAAAGAAAAAUGAAAUCGUUUGAUCGAAAGUGUAUGUUAAUAGAGCUAAACUGUUUUGAAGACCUUGCAAAGAAAUUGCGCCUUCCUGCAGGAUGUAUGGAGCUUGUACAAUUCCACUUGGAUUUUUGGACUCUUCAACAUAUUUCUUUCUAUUGUCAGUUGCUCACUUUCUUGAGCAAAUUGUGCAGCUUUGUAUCUUAGCACAAGUAAGACAGUUUUGGUUGGCAAACAAUCAAGCAUAAUUGUGCAGAUAGCACUUGUUAUCUUUUUGGUCAGGGUGUGAUGUUCUAACUCUUGGAUGUGAUGUCCUUGGCCAUCUGUAUUUUACGGACUUCAAAUUCUUGAGAUUUGCCAAAUGAGAGGCAGGGAUUUCCUUGUAA